AGAGUUUGAUCCUGGCUCAGAUUGAACGCUGGCGGCGUGCUUAACACAUGCAAGUCGAACGAGAAAGGGACUUCGGUCCUGAGUAGAGUGGCGCACGGGUGAGUAACGCGUAGGUAAUCUACCUCUGCAUCUGGGAUAACACUUCGAAAGGGGUGCUAAUACCGGAUACACUUAUGGAUCGCAAGGUUUAUAAGGAAAGGAGACCUCUCCUUGGAAGUUUCUGUGUAGAGAUGAGCCUGCGUCCCAUUAGCUAGUUGGCAGGGUAAGAGCCUACCAAGGCGACGAUGGGUAGCGGGUCUGAGAGGAUGAUCCGCCACACUGGAACUGAAACACGGACCAGACUCCUACGGGAGGCAGCAGUGAGGAAUAUUGGACAAUGGGCGCAAGCCUGAUCCAGCGACGCCGCGUGAGUGAUGAAGGCCUUUGGGUCGUAAAGCUCUGUCAGCAGGGAAGAACGGCCGUGCGGUUAAUACCCGUGCGGAUUGACGGUACCUGCAGAGGAAGCACCGGCUAACUCCGUGCCAGCAGCCGCGGUAAUACGGAGGGUGCGAGCGUUAAUCGGAAUUACUGGGCGUAAAGGGCGCGUAGGCGGCUGAUCAAGUCAGGUGUGAAAGCCCACGGCUUAACCGUGUGAAGUGCAUCUGAAACUGGUCGGCUUGAGUAUCGGAGAGGAAAGUGGAAUUCCCGGUGUAGAGGUGAAAUUCGUAGAUAUCGGGAGGAAUACCGGUGGCGAAGGCGACUUUCUGGACGAAUACUGACGCUGAGGCGCGAAAGCGUGGGGAGCAAACAGGAUUAGAUACCCUGGUAGUCC
rnacentral:rRNA from 1 species